CCAGACAGCCAGGAUGUUGGCUUAGAAGCAGCCAUCAUUUAAAGAAAGCGUAAUAGCUCACUGGUCGAGUCGGCCUGCGCGGAAGAUGUAACGGGGCUAAACCAUGCACCGAAGCUGCGGCAGCGACACUGAUGUGUUGUUGGGUAGGGGAGCGUUCUGUAAGCCUGUGAAGGUGGCCUGUGAGGGUUGCUGGAGGUAUCAGAAGUGCGAAUGCUGACAUAAGUAACGAUAAAGCGGGUGAAAAGCCCGCUCGCCGGAAGACCAAGGGUUCCUGUCCAACGUUAAUCGGGGCAGGGUGAGUCGACCCCUAAGGC
rnacentral:rRNA from 1 species